rnacentral:rRNA from 1 species
AGUGAACGCUGGCGGUAGGCCUAACACAUGCAAGUCGAACGGCAGCACAGUAAGAGCUUGCUCUUACGGGUGGCGAGUGGCGGACGGGUGAGGAAUACAGCGGAAUCUACUUUUUCGUGGGGGAUAACGUAGGGAAACUUACGCUAAUACCGCAUACGACCUACGGGUGAAAGCAGGGGAUCUUCGGACCUUGCGCGUUUGAAUGAGCCGAUGUCGGAUUAGCUAGUUGGCGGGGUAAAGGCCCACCAAGGCGACGAUCCGUAGCUGGUCUGAGAGGAUGAUCAGCCACACUGGAACUGAGACACGGUCCAGACUCCUACGGGAGGCAGCAGUGGGGAAUAUUGGACAAUGGGCGCAAGCCUGAUCCAGCCAUACCGCGUGGGUGAAGAAGGCCUUCGGGUUGUAAAGCCCUUUUGUUGGGAAAGAAAAGCAGCAGGUUAAUACCCUGCUGUUCUGACGGUACCCAAAGAAUAAGCACCGGCUAACUUCGUG